rnacentral:rRNA from 1 species
GAUGAACGCUGGCGGCGGGCCUAACACAUGCAAGUCGAACGGAAAGGGCGAGCUUUUGCCGGGUUUUCGCGGGGGGAAGGGGGGAGAAACACGGGAGUAACCCUCGCUUGACGUGGGGACAUCCUCAGGAGAGUGGGGCUAACACCGGCUAGGAGCGGGUGCUGCAUGGUGGGCGUUGGACCGUUCCGGCGGAUGGGGAUGGACGUAGGGUUGAUCAGCUUGUUGGUGGGGUAAUGGCCUACGAAGGCGACGAGGCGUAGACGGUCUGAGAGGAGGAUCGGUCACACUGGAACUGAGACACGGUCCAGACUCCUACGGGAGGCAGCAGUGGGGAAUAUUGGACAAUGGGCGAAAGCCUGAUCCAGCCAUGCCGCGUGUGUGAAGAAGGUCUUCGGAUUGUAAAGCACUUUAAGUUGGGAGGAAGGGCAGUAAGUUAAUACCCUGCUGUUUUGACGUUACCAACAGAAUAAGCACCGGCUAACUUCGUG